rnacentral:rRNA from 1 species
UGAAGAGUUUGAUUCUGGCUCAGAAUAAACGCUGGCGGCGUGCUUAACACAUGCAAGUCGAACGAGAAAGGUCUUCGGACUGAGUAAAGUGGCGAACGGGUGAGUAACGCGUGAGAAUCUACCCCUUAGUGAAGAAUACCUUCGAGAAAUCGAAGUUAAUGCUGCAUAAGCUCCUUAAUUGGAGGAAAGAUGGCCUCUUUGCUGUCGCUGAGGGAUGAGCUUGCGUACUAUUAGCUAGUUGGUGGGGUAAAGGCCUACCAAGGCGAGGAUGGUUAGCCGGCCUGAGAGGGUGUACGGCCACAUUGGAACUUAGACACGGUCCAGAC